UACGUAGGGUGCAAGCGUUGUCCGGAAUUAUUGGGCGUAAAGAGCUCGUAGGUGGUCUGUUGCGUCGGCUGUGAAACCCCGAGGCUCAACCUCGGGCCUGCAGCCGAUACGGGCAGACUAGAGUUCGGCAGGGGAGACUGGAAUUCCUGGUGUAGCGGUGAAAUGCGCAGAUAUCAGGAGGAACACCGGUGGCGAAGGCGGGUCCCUGGGCCGAUACUGACACUGAGGAGCGAAAGCGUGGGGAGCGAACAGG
rnacentral:rRNA from 1 species